GCGGCGCCGGCGGCCAUCUUGGCCGUCUUGGUAAUCCCGGCCUGGCUCUACGGCGGGGACCGCCUGAGCACCGACCGCCAUUGUGGCGUCGGUAAGGUGGACCUGAUCAGCGUGUCCCCGGGCAGCAGCCUGGAUACGUUCCCUCUCCUCAGUGGUGAGGGUGGUGGUCUGGAGGACAUGCAAGUCAUGCCAGCCCUUUUCUGUAGUCCUCCUGCAAAAGUGGUAAUGCCAAGAGUGAUGCCUUCCCAUUCAAAUCUUUCGUUUCUGGAUCAGGAAUAGAAGAACAUAUAGACCAAUAAAAGGUUGUUCAAGGCCUCUGUCAGCCUACAGCUUUUCUUUAACUCAGGCAAAAGAUCUAGUAGGCAAAGUAUCCAGAGAUGGGGAAUCCAAGCUACCCCUCCAGCAAUAAUGACUCCUCUGGCACCAGCAAGACCCCACUUGAUUGACCCCAAGACAAUGAUGAACCUGACUUUUAUUGCCCAGCUGCACAUACCUACUAACCUUUGUUCCACAUUUUCCUUAUAUAAAUCUAGAAGCUUUUUCAGCAUUUUGAAGACAGACUUUGGGACGCUAGUCCUAAGUCUUCCUGAUAUGCACUUCACUGAAAUAAAUUCUUGUUUCACCACCACUCAUUUUUCUGCUUUUGGAUUUUGUCAAUGGCAAGUGACUUAAUCUGGU